CUAUGUUCAGACCCCAUACAAUUUCUAGCUACAUUAUAGCACUAGCUAUAGCUAUAUUGUUCGCACACGUUAUACCGUUCUUAUUUAAAAAGUCGCUCGACACGUACAGUUACUUUUAAACCAACGACUUUGCUGAGUGUUCUUUAACACAUUUUUACUUCUUUGUAUUAUGCAUGCGUUCAACCACCAGAGAGCGACAUUUACGUUAGUUAGCUGUUAUCUCCCAGCAUCCCAGCUGCCCACAUGGCUGCACAUCAUUGCACACGGAGACAAAAUCCACUCGACCUCAAAACCACCUAGCUAACGGCCACAGUGAGGAGCUCUGUCUGCCAACCCUGGUCUCUGCUUUGCCUCUGCUCCCAUACUGGGUAACCAUUGUUAUCCAGCAGCACCCUGAGAGUUCCCACAUUAUGGCCCAUCAGACGGUAGUCAAAGGAAAUUCAUCCACCCGUCUCUGCUCAGUCUCGCCAACGUAGACCUCUCCAUCAUAGUCAAAAGGCUGCUCACGGAUCUUAGGAGGCGGCGUUGCUACUGGUUCAGGGAUAACAUUUUUGAUGUCCUCGUUGUCCAGUGUACCUCUCACUUGGGAGUCUGGGAUGGCUGCAGGCAGAAAGAUAAAUCAGAUUAGACAUGUGGAACCGCAAUCAUGAGUGGGAAAGACAGUAUUUUACCAGGUUUGUCGUUCACGUAUUUUGCAGCUGCUGUUCUUGUUCUACUCCAUGCAGAUGAAGCAUGACAGCAACGUUUCUUGCACAUAACGUUAAUUAGUGUUUAAAAUUGCACAAGCAUUUUAUCACACAAGUUCUGUAUAUAAAGGGUCAUGCUGAGGAUUCCAGGUCUCAUAUCAAGCUGUGUGCGUGGUGGACGCACAACGUUUCCAGCCAUAUGCAAGGCAGAGAGUUUGGAGAGGUGUUCUUAAAAGUAGGAGGCAAGAGGAGAGAAUGAAUGGGGAUGCAGGGCAGGGCGUGAACAGCGGAAGCAGAGUCUUGGAUUUCACAAAAUCUCACCAUUGAGGAAAUCAUCUGCACUGCCUUUGUCUCCAUCCCACGACCGCUGAUAAAAUGGCUUGACUACAAAAAAUAAAGGCAUCUUUCAUUUACACUGAAACCCCUUGCAUAUUCUGUUCAUGUU